rnacentral:rRNA from 1 species
GACGAACGCUGGCGGCGUGCUUAACACAUGCAAGUCGAACGGAGUGCUCCUGAUUGAGGUUUCGGCCAAAUGAAGGAGUUACUUAGUGGCGGACUGGUGAGUAACGCGUGAGGAACCUGCCUUUCAGAGGGGGACAACAGUUGGAAACGACUGCUAAUACCGCAUGAUGCAUUUGGGUCGCAUGGCCUGGAUGCCAAAGAUUUAUCGCUGAAAGAUGGCCUCGCGUCUGAUUAGCUAGUUGGUGAGGUAACGGCCCACCAAGGCGACGAUCAGUAGCCGGACUGAGAGGUUGACCGGCCACAUUGGGACUGAGAUACGGCCCAG